GCUGGUGUAAAGGAUGACUUCACUUUUUUCCCCAUCAGAUCGACAGUGUUGAUGUCGUUGAACACUUGCCAGUUAGUUCUGAUGCACCAGC
rnacentral:snoRNA from 3 species